GAUACCAGGGUUCCAAGGUCUUUACACACACGAGCUUGCUCGUAUGUGUGUAAAAGAAUUUGGAACCCGCCAAAAUAUGAGCAUAAAAGCGGGACGCAGUCCCGCGAUAUGCGAAUAUUUUGUAGGAUUGCGAGAGUACGAAGUACGAGCAAUCCGUAGGUAUC
rnacentral:sRNA from 1 species